CGUGUAGGCGGCCGAUCAAGUCGGAUGUGAAAUCCCUCGGCUCAACCGAGGAACUGCACUCGAUACUGGUCAGCUAGAGUGCGUGAGGGGUGAGUGGAACUCCAGGUGUAGCGGUGAAAUGCGUAGAUAUCUGGAGGAACGCCGGUGGCGAAAGCGACUCACUGGCCCGCAACUGACGCUGAGGCGCGAAAGCUAGGGGAGCGAACG
rnacentral:rRNA from 1 species